CCUACGGGAGGCAGCAGUGGGGAAUAUUGGGCAAUGGGCGCAAGCCUGACCCAGCCACGCCGCGUGAAGGAUGAAGGCUUUCGGGUUGUAAACUUCUUUUGUCAGGGACGAAGCCAGUGACGGUACCUGACGACUAAGCCACGGCUAACUACGUGCCAGCAGCCGCGGUAAUACGUAGGUGGCAAGCGUUAUCCGGAUUUACUGGGUGUAAAGGGCGUGUAGGCGGGACGUCAAGUCAGAUGUGAAAACCACGGGCUCAACCUGUGGCCUGCAUUUGAAACUGUAGUUCUUGAGUACUGGAGAGGCAGACGGAAUUCCUAGUGUAGCGGUGAAAUGCUUAGAGAUGAGGAGGAACACCAGUGGCGAAGGCAGUCUGCUGGACAGCAACUGACGCUGAUGCGCGAAAGCGUGGGGAGCAAACAGGAUUAGAUACCCCUGUAGUC
rnacentral:rRNA from 1 species